UGACAACUGCCCGGCUAAGCAACACGUAACUUGGGAGGCCUGCUGUCCCCCUGACAGACGGAUUUGUACUUACUUAAAAGCCGUGGGGGUUGAGCUGGAGCAGUAUUGCUGGUGUGGGGAGGUGGUUGACCCGCCGUCAGUCCCACUUUCCCUCCCCAUUUAAACCUUCCCAAUCUCCUGGUGGCCCCAUGGGAGCCAAAAUCAUACAGAAAAUAGUGCUUUGAGAGCAGAAGGGAAAGUCCAAGGUAUAGAAUUAAGAGUGGAUGCUUGAAAUAGGCUGACUUUUGGGUCUCCGUCUAUUGGUGUGGGGCUACAGAUUCACUGUCUUACCAGGACUAUUUGAAGGACAUAAAAAAAUUACAAGCCAUAUAGAUGCUACAGCAAUAGAGUCCAAAGUGUGUGAAGCAGUUGCUUGUUUUAAAUGCUCUCCAGGCAUGACGCAAAUCGGCUAAGUAUCUCCUACUUGUGUGACCAACUAAAUUUUGGAUACGAGAAGUUAAGCUU